rnacentral:rRNA from 1 species
AACGAACGCUGGCGGCAGGCUUAACACAUGCAAGUCGAACGCCCCGCAAGGGGAGUGGCAGACGGGUGAGUAACGCGUGGGAAUCUACCCAACCCUACGGAACAACUCCGGGAAACUGGAGCUAAUACCGUAUACGCCCUUAGGGGGAAAGAUUUAUCGGGGAUGGAUGAGCCCGCGUUGGAUUAGCUAGUUGGUGGGGUGAAGGCCUACUAAGGCGACGAUCCAUAGCUGGUCUGAGAGGAUGAUCAGCCACAUUGGGACUGAGACACGGCCCAAACUCCUACGGGAGGCAGCAGUGGGGAAUAUUGGACAAUGGGCGCAAGCCUGAUCCAGCCAUGCCGCGUGAGUGAUGAAGGUCUUAGGAUUGUAAAGCUCUUUCACCGGAGAAGAUAAUGACGGUAUCCGGAGAAGAAGCCCCGGCUAACUUCGUGCCAGCAGCCGCCGUAA